rnacentral:lncRNA from 1 species
UCAUAUGGAAAACGCAAUAACAUGAAAUGAAUUCGAGUAUUGACUAUGUGUAACGAACCGUCCAUAGAGAACGGUUAGGUGGCCAUUCGAAGACGAUUGUCUUCUUCUCGCAAUUGUCCAAUUUUGCUGUGGGUCCAGGACUUGAGUCUCACGGUACUUCUGUAUCCUUUCUCUUCUCUCUAGUUGAGAAGUUCUUCAAGUCUACUUGUAGCGUAUUGGAUUAUCUUCUCCAAUUCGUUGUUAUAAUCUCCGGUAUGGCUGUUUUGGCCAUAAUCGACGACAAGACAACCGAUCUACUUGGGUUGAACACAGACUCAAGUGUUUUCGGUGGUUAUAUGAAUUUCGAGUGCUUAAACACAAAUUUUAAUGCGGAAGAGGAGUUCAAAAAAAAAAGAAAAAAGAAGAAGUUUGUUUUCGAUCAAGUAUAUUUGGUGCCGAAAUAUAUCGCUGGAAUCAUGGAAUGCAUCAAGGAAAAAGCAGCAAUACGAAGCGGAAGAAAUUAUGGCUAUAUUCGUACAAUUGCUGAGAAUUGGUCUUUCUAAUUUUUAUUUCUUAUGAUUGAAUCAAUAUAUAUAUAUAUAUAUAUCUAAAUUGGAAUAAGACCAAAGUAAUACAAC